AGAGUUUGAUCCUGGCUCAGAAUGAACGCUGGCGGCGUGCUUAAGGCAUGCAAGUCGAACGAGAAAGUUCUCUUCGGAGGACAAGUACAGUGGCGCACGGGUGAGUACAACUUAGGUAACCUGCCCUUUUGCUGGGGACAACCAAGGGAAACUUUGGCUAAUACCGAAUACUCCAUCAAAAUCUAUGGAUCUUGAUGGGAAAGCCUUCGGGCGCGAAAGGAGGGGCCUAAGCCCCAUUAGCUUGUUGGUAGGGUAAUGGCCUACCAAGGCGACGAUGGGUAGCUGGUCUGAGAGGAUGAUCAGCCACACUGGAACUGAGAUACGGUCCAGACUCCUACGGGAGGCAGCAGCUGGGAAUUUUGCGCAAUGGGGGAAACCCUGACGCAGCAACGCCGCGUGAGUGAGGAAGGCCUUCGGGUUGUAAAACUCUUUUAGCAGGGAAGAAACAAAUGACGGUACCUGCAGAAAAAGCACCGGCUAACUCCGUGCCAGCAGCCGCGGUAAUA
rnacentral:rRNA from 1 species